rnacentral:misc_RNA from 1 species
UCAAACUUGGUCAUUUAGAGGAAGUAAAAGUCGUAACAAGGUUUCCGUAGGUGAACCUGCGGAAGGAUCAUUACAAGGUUUACAAAAUGCCGGAGGGGGAGGGGAGAGGGGUCACUCUCUCUUUCCCUUCUCCUUCGGCAUGAAAUAACCACCGAUCAUUUCCUGUGUGCACUCAUUUCUUUUGGGGGGGAAUCGAUUUCCCUCGGUUCCUCCCCCAACCUUUCUCCUCAGCCUUACCGUUUGUCUGAUGAAAAUCUUUAUAAAAGAUAAAAAAAUACAACUUUCAACAACGGAUCUCUUGGCUCUCGCAUCGAUGAAGAACGCAGC